CUGCGAAUGGCUCAUUAUAUAAGUUAUCGUUUAUUUGAUAAUACUUUACUACUUGGAUAACCGUGGUAAUUCUAGAGCUAAUACAUGCUGAAAAUCCCGACUUCGGAAGGGAUGUAUUUAUUAGAUUAAAAACCAAUGCCCCUCGGGGCUCUCUGGUGAAUCAUGAUAACUAGUCGAAUCGACAGGCCUUGUGCCGGCGAUGGCUCAUUCAAAUUUCUUCCCUAUCAACUUUCGAUGUUUGGGUAUUGGCCAAACAUGGUGGCAACGGGUAACGGAGGGUUAGGGCUCGACCCCGGAGAAGGAGCCUGAGAAACGGCUACUACAUCCAAGGAAGGCAGCAGGCGCGCAAAUUACCCAAUCCCGACACGGGGAGGUAGUGACAAUAAAUACUGAUACAGGGCUCUUUUGGGUCUUGUAAUCGGAAUGAGUACAAUUUAAAUCCCUUAACGAGGAACAAUUGGAGGGCAAGUCUGGUGCCAGCAGCCGCGGUAAUUCCAGCUCCAAUAGCGUAUAUUAAAGUUGUUGUGGUUAAAAAGCUCGUAGUUGAACCUUGGGCCUGGCUGGCCGGU
rnacentral:rRNA from 1 species